rnacentral:rRNA from 1 species
UGGGCGCAUGCCUGAUCCAGCCAUACCGCGUGGGUGAAGAAGGCCUUCGGGUUGUAAAGCCCUUUUGUUGGGAAAGAAAUCCUGUUGAUUAAUACUCGGUGGGGAUGACGGUACCCAAAGAAUAAGCACCGGCUAACUUCGUGCCAGCAGCCGCGGUAAUACGAAGGGUGCAAGCGUUACUCGGAAUUACUGGGCGUAAAGCGUGCGUAGGUGGUGGUUUAAGUCUGCUGUGAAAGCCCUGNGCUCAACCUGGGAAUUGCAGUGGAUACUGGAUCACUNGACUGUGGUAGAGGGAUGCGGAAUUUCUGGUGUANCAGUGAAAUGCGUAGANAUCAGAANGAACAUCCNUGGCGAAGGCGGNAUCCUGGGCCAACACUGACACUGAGGCACGAAANCGUGGGGGAGCNAACNANGAUUANAUACCCUGCUAGUCCACNCCCCUNAAACGAAUCCGAACUGGAUGUUNGGGUGCAACUUUGUGCACCCAGUNAUCGGAACNUUNACCGCNUUNAAGUUCCNCCGGCCUUGNGGNAGNUACGGGNCUCAANUACUUGAAACUCAAAGGAAUUGA